GUGCACCAGGCGAGAAACUUCACACUGUGCGAAAGCACGAUGAGGGAAUCCCAAGUGCUUGCACGUAAGUGUAAGCUGUUUCUCUGUCUAAAACGCAGAGAGAGUAAGGGCUGGGUAAGACGGGUGCCAGCCGCCGCGGUAAUACCUGCAGCUCAAGUGGUGACCGUUAUUAUUGGGCCUAAAACGUCCGUAGCCGGUUUAAUAAAUGCCUGGGUAAAUUGUGUAGCUUAACUAUACGAAUUCCGGGUAGACUGUUAAACUUGAGACCGGGAGAAGUUAGAGGUACUCCUGGGGUAGAGGUGAAAUUCUGUAAUCCUAGGGGGACCACCAGUGGCGAAGGCGUCUAACUAGAACGGGUCUGACGGUGAGGGACGAAGCCCUGGGGCGCAAACGGGAUUAGAUACCCCUGUAGU
rnacentral:rRNA from 1 species